GUUCAACAAUAUUCAAUAUCACGGUAAAAAUAUCAACAAAAUGUUAAGAAAUCAUUGUCAAAAACAAUUGUAUUCAAAGGCAAUUUCAAUAGUUGUUUUUUGUAUCAAUGAUUUGACUUUUGAGUAAAUUUUUUGCUAAUUUUGAUGUUCUUCACAUUCACCAACUUUGGGCAGUUCUGGACAAUGCAGAUAGAAUCCUAAUACUUUGGGAAAAUAAUGUAUAGAUAGUUGCCACGGAAUCCCUAUGUGCGACGUCGAAAUACACGCAUAAUCGCAAAAUUGUGCUUACAUUGGACAUCUACAUUUGCCAACAAAUGUUUGAAUUGGUGAUAUGCCCGCAUUUAACGCACCGUACUGCCUGCACCGCAUUUAUCGUGUCUACGCUGGACGUGGCGUUAUACAUAUUUUUUUCAUAAGUUUUUUCGCCAAAAUAUUUUUGAGGAAAGCUUUCCAGUUGGCAAUCCUUGGAUGCGUCCCAGCAAUGUGAACCCGACAGUUUUGAAAGCGAUCUGUAAAUGUAGUCUCAAAUUUCACAUUUUAAGUAAUUUAACUUGGAGCUAACUUCCAUUAAGACAGAAUCCGUACAUCUAUUCCGCUCUAUGGACUCAUAUCCGAAUUGUUCAAAUAACACUUGUGUAUAACUACUGUACCAUCUGGAGUUUUAGAUAGACAGUCGCUUCGCCAUAAUUUCAGUAUUUCUCAAUAUAUACACUAUUUAUUACUAUUUUCGAUAUAUUUUUUGUCACCGAAGAUCACAAAGCAAAUUUCAGAGGACACGUAUUUCCUUCCAUUGCAUCCUUUUAAAGAAGAAACUUAUUUGGCAUUAUUAAAAAUGACAUACAAAUCUCUCUCAAUAUACACACACUUAUAAUACCGUCACACAAAUUUCGCAAAACUUCCAUGAUUUAAGCACUGCAACGAAGUGAACAACGAAGUGAACGUAAAUAACGAAGGCGAAUGCGCGCAAGCCCCACAGACAGACAACACUCACGCGUCAAGUCAACUAUAAACAGGCCAAGUCAACCAAGUGCAACUUUUGCGCAUUACCGUUAGAGUGCAGAGCAACGUGUGACUUGUGCGACAACAACAACAACUGCUAUGCAAUGGUGCAACUAUAUAACGGGGUAUUAUAACGAAGAUACAAAAAUACAUAUAAACAUACUAACACCAGCUAGUAGUAGUCAGCAUCGAGCCUAACUGCAAUGCACGGCCUAACAUCGACAAACUAACGGCGCGUGCUGCCUCAGUGUGAGCGCCUCAAGGAGUUGCAUAUGAAAGAAGGUAAAGUAAAAAAAAACCGUUGGCUUUUAUGCACUUCAAUUGACAAAUUUAGUUCGACGAUGAGCCGGAUGCACAGGCGACGAUGACGACGACGACGACGACAAUCGUUUAAUGGUUAAGUGCUGAAUCGGGUGAGUUGGAGGGUGGCAACAAAUGUGCGAAUGCGCGGUUUGACCGGAAUUAAGUGGGGUAAAG